GACGAACGCUGGCGGCGUGCCUAAUACAUGCAAGUCGAACGCAGUGGGGACGGGUGAGUAACACGUGGGUAACCUCCCAUCAGAGGGGAUAACACUUGGAAACAGGUGCUAAACCGAUACUGAUGGAUGGACCCGCGGUGCAUUAGCUAGUUGGUGAGGUAACGGCCCACCAGGGCCACGAUGCAUAGCUGACCUGAGAGGGUGAUCGGCCACACUGGAACUGAGACACGGCCCAGACUCCUACGGGAGGCAGCAGUGGGGAAUCUUGGGCAAUGGACGAAAGUCUGACCAAGCAACGCCGCGUGGGUGAAGAAGGUUUUCGGAUCGUAAAGCUCGUUUGUUAGGGAGGCGGUAUCUAACCAGAAAGCCACGGCUAACUACGUGCCAGCAGCCGCGGUAAUUC
rnacentral:rRNA from 1 species